AACGAACGCUGGCGGCAGGCUUAACACAUGCAAGUCGAACGCGCCCUUCGGGGUGAGUGGCAGACGGGUGAGUAACGCGUGGGAACAUGCCUUUCGGACUGGAAUAACUGGGGGAAACUUCAGCUAAGACCGGAUACGCCCUUAGGGGGAAUGAUUUAUCGCCGAAAGAUUGGCCCGCGUCCGAUUAGCUAGUUGGUGUUGGUAAUGGCUCACCAAGGCGACGAUCGGUAGCUGGUCUGAGAGGAUGGCCAGCCACAUUGGGACUGAGACACGGCCCAAACUCCUACGGGAGGCAGCAGUGGGGAAUAUUGGACAAUGGGCGCAAGCCUGAUCCAGCCAUGCCGCGUGAGUGAUGACGGCCCUAGGGUUGUAAAGCUCUUUCGCACGUGACGAUAAUGACGGUAACGUGAGAAGAAGCCCCGGCUAACUUCGUGCCAGCCGCCGCCGUAA
rnacentral:rRNA from 1 species